rnacentral:lncRNA from 1 species
AUCGAUGAACAAUCCCACAAGCCUCAAUCCCUCUUCUUCUCUACACUAUACAUCUUUAAUCCAUCUUCUAGGUAAUUCAAUCUCUCUCUUUCUACAAACUUUCAAUUUCUACAAACCCACUUCUUCUCCUCCAAAAAUUCCCAAUUUCAAUCCCUAAUUUUGAAAAUUCAUGUUUCAUGUUUCAUGUUUGUGAAAUCCGAGUUCAUUGGGUUUUGUAGAUUCGAAAUCAGAACUCAAACACAUAGCUUCAUAUUUCUGGGUUCUGGAUUCAUUGGGUUUAUGCGUUUCUGUUUUGAGAAGCACCAUGUUUCUUUUUUCUGCUGCCAUUCAGCUUCCGAUUUGAAAAAUGCAUGACAUGGGUUUGUUGUUGAUUUAAUUUUUGGGUUUUGUUAUGAAUUUCUGGGUUUUGUUAUGAACAAAGAGAUUGAUUGUUGUUGUUCUUGUUAUUUAUGCUCGAAUUUAUAGUGAUUUUGAUUUGUUGAUUUUUUUGAUAAUUUUGAUUUUUUCUUGUUUUUUAUUUGAUUCAGGAUUAGAGAGAAAGAGAUGGGUUGUUGUUGAAGAUGAAGAUCAUGGGUCACUAUGUUUGAAGAAGAUGAAGAUGAAAGAGGGUUUGAUGAACUUUGAAUAAUGAGAUGAAGAUUUAAGGGUUAAAUAUUUUUUGUUUUAUAAAAAUUAGUUUGUUUUUUUUUUUUUUUUGAAGCAAAAAAAAAAUUAGUUUUUUUUUUUAAAAAAAAUUAAUAGGUAAUAUAUUUAUCUAUAUGUCAAUAAUUAAAUUAAUAAAAAAUGAAUUAAAAUCCACACAUGCAUGCCAUGUCAUAAAAAAAAUAAGAUUCCAUGUCCAGUUGGCACUUAGGGGGGUAAACGAUGGAAUCUUGAUAUUACAGGGGGGUGAUCACAAUUAUUUUUUUUGCAGGGGGUAAGACAAAACUCUCAUAUUUUGCAGGGGGGUAAAACCCUAUUUACCCU